CCGAGACCAAGUUUUAGGCGGGUUCUAAAUUGUUUAGGUUUUAUUUUUUAUUUUUUAUUAUUUUGUAUUGGGUAAAAUUCAUACAUAAUAUUUUAGGUGUUAUUGCUUAAGCUCCUCUCUUAAGAUUCUUUCAUGUGACUACUUAAUUUUAAAAAUACAUUUCUAUAAUGAAAAAAAAGCCACAUUAUAAAAUCUUAAGAGAGAAACUUAAGUAACAGUAUAGUAUCUAAGUAUUGUAGUUAAAUUUUACUCUUUUUUAUUUGUGUAUAUAAAACAUUGUUAUUCUCUCUUUCUCCUCCCAUAGACAGACCCACGCCUGUCAACCUCUCCCAAAAAGACUGGAUUAGCAGGAUAUUGAUUUUGGGAUUAGAGAAGGUGUUGAUUUUGGGAUUAGAGAAGGUGUUGAUUUUAGGACAUAGCUUUUGGGAUUGGAGAAGGGUUAAGUUUGCUUGGCUUUCUGCGAGUAUAAGCUGAGUUGUAAGAAGGGCAACGAAUUCGUGUAAAUAAGGCGUAAAGUAGGCGGCAGCAACAUGGGAUUUUGGAGCAUGUUCAACUUUGUAUCCAUUGUACUAAAAAUUAGGGCAGUUUUUAUUUAUUAAUUUUAUAUGAAAUACAUUUUAAUGAAUUAGUACUGGGUCACUUUCAUAGUUCUGAUCCUUUUUUUGAUAAGGUUAUGGAAUCUGUCCUACGAGAGCUUCCUGGUGCAUCUACUAGUAUACGUAUAUAGUACGAGUAUUAUAUGUCAAGCAUGGCAAAUUGGUGCCUCUAAUUAUGAUUGUUUCUUCAAGCUGGUGAUAAAUGAGCACCUCAUAUGUUGUGAGAUUUCUUGUAUUCAAGAAUGAUUUAGGGCCUACUAUGAAAUUUUAAUAUUUUUGCAUUAGCAA